rnacentral:rRNA from 1 species
AAUUAUGGACAAUGGGGGAAACCCUGCUCCAGCCAUCCCGCGUGCAUUAUGAAGGCCUGCGGGUUGUAAAGUAUCGUUGGUAGAGAAGAACAGGCAUCACCUAAUACGGGAUGCUGCUGACGGUAUCUGCUGCAUAAGCACCGGCUCACUACGUGCCAGCAGCCGCGGUAAUACGUAGGGUGCAAGCGUUAAUCGGAAUUACUGGGCGUAAAGCGUGUGUAGGCAGUUCGGAAAGAAAGAUGUGAAAGCCCAGGGCUCAACCUUGGAACUGCAUUUUUAACUGCCGAGCUAGAGUAUGUCAGAGGGGGGUAGAAUUCCACGUGUAGCAGUGAAAUGCAUAGGUAUGUGGAGGAAUAACGAUGGCGAAGGCAGCCCCCUGGGAUAAUACUGACGCUCAGACACGAAAGCGUGGGGAGCAAACAGG